GGUAGCCAAAGAUUACCGCAGGGCUUAUUGUUGGAUUGCUGAUAAUGCGGACGUCACCACCGCCGGGUGCCCAUGUGUCAUAAACCCCACCAAAGUAGAGGGCCUUCCAAACAAGCAGCCAUGCGCCAAUGCCAAGCACAAUGAGGUGAAUCCCCAAGAUGGUAGUCAUCUUGUUCUUGUCUUUCCA
rnacentral:antisense_RNA from 1 species